rnacentral:rRNA from 1 species
GCGGAGGAUCAUUAUCGAAUCGUCGACACGAGUUGUUGCUGGCCCUCAAACCGGGGCAUGUGCACGCUCUGUUUGCAUCCACCCACACCUGUGCACCCUCUGUAGUUCUGCGGUCUGGGGGGACCCCCCUCUUCCGUCUGCGGUUCUACGUCUUACACACACACUGUAACGCGGUUUUAUGGAAUGUACGCAGCGUUUAACGCAAUACAAUACAACUUUCAGCAACGGAUCUCUUGGCUCUCGCAUCGAUGAAGAACGCAGCGAAAUGCGAUAAGUAAUGUGAAUUGCAGAAUUCAGUGAAUCAUCGAAUCUUUGAACGCACCUUGCGCCCUUUGGCUAUUCCGAAGGGCAUGCCUGUUUGAGUAUCAUGAACACCUCAACUCUCGUGGUUCGCCAUGACGAGCUUGGACUUUGGAGGCUUUGCUGGCCUGUGGUCGGCUCCUCUCAAACGAAUCAGCUUACCGGUGUAUUGGUGGCGUCACAGGUGUGAUAACUAUCUACGCUUGCGGUCGUCUGCCAUACAACCUCUGGCAUCGUCAGAGGUUUGCCGGGGGCUCAUAAACGUCUCCCGAGUGAAGACAGCCUUCUGAACGUUUGAUCUCAAAUCAGGUAGGACUACCCGCUGAACUUAAGCAUAUCAAUAAGCGGAGGAA